AUUAAAGUAGUGUAUAAGCACGUUUAGUUUCCACCUAAAAAGAAAAAUUUAAUA
rnacentral:tRNA from 1 species